AUUGUUUUGGGAGUUGUAUUUUU
rnacentral:snRNA from 1 species